UGGCAUUGAGGCAAUAGACUGGUUCGGCAUCAGCCUGUUGUAGAGCCAAACCGUGGGUUCAGCGAUAACCACAAGCCGAAUAGAUUCGAUGAAUCGAAAGAAAACGCCAAAA
rnacentral:sRNA from 12 species